CUAACUAUGCAUCCAGUCAAUCCAACUGCAUCAGAAAGCUGGAGUGGGAGGCACGUGAGGAUUUGAGCAUCUGUGCAGCUGCACACACUCCUCUCUUCAGUCUUGAGGCUGUGUGACUCGUCUGUAUCCAUGCAGCCUUGGGCAGACAGCAUCCAGUCUGCUGGUCCCUUUAGCCCUGCUCUUUCUGCUGUGGCUCUAAGAUCAACUAACUGAAGUUUGUUAGGAAAACAGUGCUUUGUAGAAAGGUGUCAGUGGGAAGAAUAAGUGAGUGUACACAUGCCCCUCCCCCAUGCAGCAUUGUCUACUGCAGGAUGAGAGGGAACUUGUUCCUAGCAAAGUAGUGACAUGUGCUGCUGUGGCUGAUGUAUAGUGUCAUGCUGAUACUUCACACAUUAAGAUCUCAAAUUACUUUCCAUUGAGCCAGAUUGUGUAUUCCUUCCUGGAAUUUUUACUGUUACUCAACCACUUCCAACUGAACUGGAUGGGAGGACGCUUAGGCUGUCCUAUUAUCUACAAGGCCAGGAACACUGGAAUUCACUAUGGUCCGUCCCACGCCAACUCAAGGCCGAGGGGAGGGUGCAUUUCUGAAUGAUACUUAAACAAAUAAUGUGACUGUGAGCAGCAGCAUUUGUUACGGAUAUAGCAAAGCAUGAUAAAUGGGGCUAAUAAAUAAAUGAAUAGCAAUGAAA